rnacentral:rRNA from 1 species
AGUGAACGCUGGCGGUAGGCCUAACACAUGCAAGUCGAACGGCAGCACAGUAAGAGCUUGCUCUUACGGGUGGCGAGUGGCGGACGGGUGAGGAAUAUAUCGGAAUCUACUUUUUCGUGGGGGAUAACGUAGGGAAACUUACGCUAAUACCGCAUACGACCUACGGGUGAAAGCAGGGGAUCUUCGGACCUUGCGCGAUUGAAUGAGCCGAUGUCGGAUUAGCUGGUUGGCGGGGUAAAGGCCCACCAAGGCGACGAUCCGUAGCUGGUCUGAGAGGAUGGUCAGCCACACUGGAACUGAGACACGGUCCAGGCUCCUACGGGAGGCAGCAGUGGGGAAUAUUGGACAAUGGGCGCAAGCCUGAUCCAGCCAUACCGCGUGGGUGAAGAAGGCCUUCGGGUUGUAAAGCCCUUUUGUUGGGAAAGAAAAGCAGCAGGUUAAUACCCCGCUGUUCUGACGGUACCCAAAGAAUAAGCACCGGCUAACUUCGUG